rnacentral:rRNA from 1 species
CAGCAGUGGGGAAUAUGCACAAUGGGCGCAAGCCUGAUGCAGCCAUGCCGCGUGUAUGAAGAAGGCCUUCGGGUUGUAAAGUACUUUCAGCAGUGAGGAAGGUGGGUAUGUUAAUAGCAUACUCAUUUGACGUUAGCUGCAGAAGAAGCACCGGCUAACUCCGUGCCAGCAGCCGCGGUAAUAUGGAGGGUGCGAGCGUUAAUCGGAAUUACUGGGCGUAAAAGCGCAUGCAGGUGGUUUGUUAAGUCAGAUGUGAAAGCCCGGGGCUCAACCUCGGAAUUGCAUUUGAAACUGGCAAACUAGAGUACUGUAGAGGGGGUAGGAAUUUCAGGUGUAGCGGUGAAAUGCGUAGAGAUCUGAAGGAAUACCGGUGGCGAAGGCGGCCCCCUGGACAGAUACUGACACUCAGAUGCGAAAGCGUGGGGAGCAAACAGGAUUAGAUACCCUGGUAG